CCGGAAGUUUGUGCCGUGUGCUUCACAUGUCAACAUGUUGCUGUCCCACAGUUACAUUGCAUCUAAAUCAGAAUUGUUGAAUCGUUUUUGAUACAUAGUCUGGAUAUAUAUAUUUUGCAACUGCACGUGUUUUCUUUGUGCCAGCAGCCAUGGCCCAAGAGGUGUGCUGCUUGAAGGCAAAGCUCAAGGAAAAAGAGAAAGAGAUUGCUGCUCUGAAGAGUAAACUGGCACAACUGGAAAAGAGCCAUACUUCAGUCCUGGAGCUGUAUGACAAAGUGACGCCCCUGAGCCCUCUGAGAGCCAAACCAGCCCUCAGCAAUGAGGACAUCAUGCGGUACAGCAGACAGCUCCUUCUGCCUGAGCUGGGUCCACAAGGUCAGCUAAACUUAGCCAAGACCUCAGUGCUGAUUGUGGGCUGUGGAGGACUGGGCUGCCCCCUGGCACAGUAUCUUGCAGCAGCAGGUAUCGGGCGCCUGGGCCUACUGGAUUAUGACGAGGUGGAGCUCAGUAACCUGCACAGACAGGUGCUCCAUGGGGAGCAGAAUCAGGGCCAGGCCAAGGCUCUGUCUGCUGCCAAUGCAGUUAAAAGGUUGAACUCGACAGUAGAGUGUAUUCCCUACCACCUGCAGCUCUCACCAGAGAACGCCUUGCAACUCAUUCAACAAUAUGACAUUGUGGCUGAUUGUUCAGACAAUGUCCCCACUCGUUAUCUGGUGAAUGACGCAUGUGUGCUCAGUGGCAAGCCUCUGGUGUCAGCUAGUGCCCUGAGAAUGGAGGGGCAGCUGACAGUAUAUAACUACUGUGGAGGCCCCUGCUACAGAUGUCUGUACCCCGUACCUCCACCCCCAGAGACAGUGACCAACUGUUCUGACGGAGGGGUAUUAGGAGUGGUUCCAGGGAUAAUGGGCUGCUUCCAAGCUUUGGAAGUCCUCAAGAUUGCCUCCGGACAAGGCUCUUCCUGUGGCCAUCAGUUGGUGAUGUUUGACGCUCAAAAUGCCAGAUUCAGGACCAUCAAGUUGCGGCCCAAACAGGCCGGAUGUGCAGUGUGUGGAGAGAACCCCAGUGUAACCCAGUUGGUGGACUAUGAGGCGUUCUGUGGGUCCGCUGCCACAGAUAAGUGCCGCAAACUCAACCUCCUUUCCAGAGAUCAGAGGAUCACAGUACAGGAUUAUAAAUCAGUACUGGACAACGCAGAGCCCCAUCUCUUGUUGGAUGUGCGCCCUCUUGUGGAGGUGGAUAUAUGCCACUUACCUUUCUCCCUCAGUAUCCUUUUUGUGACAGAGACAUUCCACUCUUGAGUUUAGAGGAGAGGAAGAGUGAGCAUUUUCUAUUACUUCAGGAGAGAAUCAGCCAAUUAAAACAGCAGAUGGCUGGUGACUGCCGGCCUCCAGUGUAUGUGAUCUGUAAGCUGGGUAACGACUCUCAGAAGGCGGUGCAGGUUCUGGAGAAGAUGAGUGGAUCAGAAGUGGACAGUAUCACAGUGAAAGACAUCUGUGGAGGCCUCAUGGCCUGGGCAAAAAGGAUAGACCCCACGUUUCCACAGUAUUAAAGUAUUUUCAAAUGCUUUUCUGUUAAUAAACUCUGAAUUCUCA